rnacentral:rRNA from 1 species
CCUACGGGUGGCAGCAGUGGGGGAUAUUGCACAAUGGGGGAAACCCUGAUGCAGCGACGCCGCGUGGGUGAAGAAGCGCCUCGGCGCGUAAAGCCCUGUCAGCAGGGAAGAAAAUGACGGUACCUGAAGAAGAAGCCCGGGCUAACUACGUGCCGGCAGCCGCGGUAAUAGGUAGGGGGCAAGCGUUAUCCGGAUUUACUGGGUGUAAAGGGGGCGCAGACGGCGAUGCAAGCCAGGAGUGAAAGCCCGGGGCCCAACCCCGGGACUGCUCGUGGAACUGCGUGGCUAGAGUGCAGGAGGGGCAGGCGGAAUUCCUGGUGUAGCGGUGAAAUGCGUAGAUAUCAGGAGGAACACCGGUGGCGAAGGCGGCCUGCUGGACUGCAACUGACGUUGAGGCCCGAAAGCGUGGGGAGCAAACAGGAUUAGAUACCCCUGUAGUC